rnacentral:rRNA from 1 species
CCAUGCCGCGUGCAGGAAGAAGGCCUUCUGGGUUGUAAACUGCUUUUGCCAGGGGAUAAAAUUUCCAUGCGUGGAAAAUUGAAGGUACCUGGUGAAUAAGCCACGGCUAACUACGUGCCAGCAGCCGCGGUAAUACGUAGGUGGCAAGCGUUGUCCGGAUUUAUUGGGUUUAAAGGGUGCGUAGGCGGCCUAUUAAGUCAGUGCUGAAAUAUCCCGGCUUAACCGGGAGGGUGGCAUUGAUACUGAUGGGCUAGAGUACAGAUGAGGUAGGCGGAAUUGACGGUGUAGCGGUGAAAUGCUUAGAUAUCGUCAAGAACACCUAUAGCGAAGGCAGCUUACUAGGCUGUAACUGACGCUGAGGCACGAAAGUGUGGGGAUCAAACAGGAUUAGAUACCCUGGUAGUCCACACUGUAAACGUUGAUUACUCGCUGUGUGCGAUAUACAGUACGCGGCCAAGCGAAAGCGCUAAGUAAUCCACCUGGGGAGUACGCCGGCAACGGUG